rnacentral:tRNA from 1 species
GGAGAGUUGCCGGAGGGGUUAACGGAACAGUUUGCUAAACUGUCAGCAAUUUAUUUGCUUCGUGAGUUCAAAUCUCACACUCUCCGCAA